rnacentral:rRNA from 1 species
UACGUAGGGCGCAAGCGUUGUCCGGAAUUAUUGGGCGUAAAGGGCUCGUAGGCGGUUUGUCGCGUCGGGAGUGAAAACACCGGGCUUAACUCGGUGCUUGCUUUCGAUACGGGCAGACUGGAGGUAUGCAGGGGAGAACGGAAUUCCUGGUGUAGCGGUGAAAUGCGCAGAUAUCAGGAGGAACACCGGUGGCGAAGGCGGUUCUCUGGGCAUUACCUGACGCUGAGGAGCGAAAGUGUGGGGAGCGAACAGG